GCAAAAACAACUACAGAACAUGGAGUAGAGCAGGGCUGGGCAGAAAUACCAGAAAACAAGGGGAAAGGAUGGAGCACCAGAAAUCAGAGAGCCUCGCAACCAGCUGUAUGGAGGAAGCAGCAGCAGCACCAGCUGAUGGAGACAGUGUCAUGGGUACACAGGAGCAGGUCCUAGUCACACUGAGCAGAGUGCUGGAUGGGGCAUGUAUCAUUUUCUACAGGGAUGGCCCUAAGAAUGAAGUAGCAAGUACAUUUCUGUGUGAAAGUAAACAUCUUGUCAUAAUUUUCCCCA